AUGCACGUUAUUAUCACUCUAGGUCAGUGCCACUGGCAGCCAGGCUGUACCAUGUGCUGUAUAGACGUACAUUUCCAUUCACGUACAGCUUCUCCUCCGAAGUUAGUAAUAGUCUAUUUUUUAAAAAAACAUUUGAUUGUUAUUAAAAGAAAAUCACUCAUUUGUUUUCAAGCUUUCUGCUGGGAGCCUCUUUCUUCCCAAGAUGACGCAGGACAGGGAAUCUUCAAACUUGGGACUCAGCAUGGAAGGGUUCUUGGCUUCACUCAGGAAAGGAUUCAAGGUGCACUAUUCACCAGGAACUGGUAAAAUCCACUUGGGGAAGUGGAUUUUCUGCACUCUCAAGUUGCUUUCUGCAAAAGGGUGCCUAAAAGAGACACAGAAGUUUGGCCUCAGAAGUUUGAAAAUGUCUUUACUUUAUCCUUGCGCUUGUUGACAGCUUGCUGAAUUCAGAAUUUCAGGUUGGAAACACUUUUUCUUUCUAGCUUUGGUAUAGUUGAGAAGUCCAAAAACAUUUUGAUUCUUAAUCCUUUGUGUAUAAGAUUUUACUUUCUUUAUGGGAAUGCUUAGAGUCUCAUCUUUGUUUCCAGUAGUUUAAAAUGACCAAAUAAUAAGGCUUGGUAUAAAUCUAUUUUCACCUAUUUGGAGGGAUAUUUGAUAGGGGAUUGCAACCUGGAGACUCAUGUCUUUCAGUUCUGGCAAACCUAAUUGAGUUAUUUCCUUACUUUAAAAAUCUCCUCUCUAUGUUUCUAUUGUUGAACUUUCACUGGUAAUUAUUGAGCCUCCUGGAUUGAUCUUCUAAUUUUAAAGGUAUUUUAAAAUUUAAAUUCUCUCUCAUUUUGUUUUUAAAAGAGCUUUUGUUAACUAUACUUCCCAAACUUCUACUGAGUUUUUUCUUCUAUUAUUAUAUUUUUAAUUAUUAUUUUUUAAGAGACAGAGGCUUGCAUGCUGCCCAGACUGGAGUGCAGUAACUAUUCACAGGCGUGAUCAUAUAGUGCACCACAGCCUUGAACUCCUGGCCUCAAGUGGUCCUCCUGCCUCAGUCUCCUCAGUAGCUGGGAGUACUGCUGUGCGCCACCAUGUCUAGCAUAUUUUUAAAUUCUUAAAAGGUCAUUUUUUGUUCUCUGAUUGUUCCCUUUCUACAGAAUUUUGUUUUUGAUUUACUGAUAUAAUAGCUUAUUUUAAUUUCUCUGAAAAUAUUAAUGAUACUUUUCUUGCAUAUUUUUUGUCUUUCUACAUGAGCUCUGUUUCCUCUAAUUUACUUUUUGCUGUUUUAUUCUUGGUGGUAGGGGAUGUAUUUCAUGUUAGAAUCUUCCUUAUAUGUCUGGGCCUCCUUGGCUGUUUAAAAGUGGAGCACUGAAAAGUGGAUUGGAAAUUUUGGGCAUGUAGUUGAAGCUUGUCACUUACUUCAACUGGUGUUCAUCAGAUUUCCCAGAGAAUAAUCUUACUCCCUUUCGGUCGGUAUAUUUAGUGGCCAGAGAGUCUGGUGGUAAAUAGGGUUGAGGGUUCCAAUAGUCAGUAUGGAAAUUCCACAGAAAACGAUUUGUAGUAUGGACACCUGCCCUCCCAUGUGUCUGGUAUCCCCCAGGCCAGACCUUCUACUUUAAUCUCCAAAAGAGUCAGUCUCAGAAUUCUAACAGAGUGAGGGGGAUGCAGCUUUCUGAAAGUGUCUCUUCCUCCCUAGGUUUGCAUCCAGUCUCCCUACAUUCAAUGCAGGCCCAGCUAGGCUCCCAUUCUCUGGAGUAGGUG
rnacentral:lncRNA from 1 species